rnacentral:rRNA from 1 species
UACAGAGGGUGCAAGCGUUAAUCGGAUUUACUGGGCGUAAAGCGUGUGUAGGUGGUCAAGAAAGUCGGUUGUGAAAUCCCUGGGCUCAACCCGGGAACUGCUUCCGAUACUUCAUGACUCGAAUUCGGUAGAGGGAGGCGGAACUCCAGGUGUAGCGGUGAAAUGCGUAGAUAUCUGGAGGAACACCGGUGGCGAAGGCGGUUCUCUGGGCAUGUCCUGACGCUGAGGAGCGAAAGUGUAGGGAGCGAACAGG